rnacentral:rRNA from 1 species
AACGAACGCUGGCGGCAUGCCUAACACAUGCAAGUCGAACGAGACCUUCGGGCCUAGUGGCGCACGGGUGCGUAACGCGUGGGAACCUGCCCUUAGGUUCGGAAUAACUCCCCGAAAGGGGUGCUAAUACCGGAUAAUGUCUUCGGACCAAAGAUUUAUCGCCUUUGGAUGGGCCCGGGUUGGAUUAGCUAGUUGGUAGGGUAAAAGCCUACCAAGGCGACGAUCCAUAGCUGGUCUGAGAGGAUGAUCAGCCACACUGGGACUGAGACACGGCCCAGACUCCUACGGGAGGCAGCAGAGGGGAAGAAUGGACAAGGGGCGAGAGCCUGAUCCAGCAAGGCCGCGAGAGUGAUGAAGGCCUUAGGGAUGUAAAGCUCUUUUACCCGGGAUGAUAAUGACAGAACCGGGAGAAUAAGCUCCGGCGAACUCCGU